AGUGAACGCUGGCGGUAGGCCUAACACAUGCAAGUCGAACGGCAGCACAGUAAGAGCUUGCUCUUACGGGUGGCGAGUGGCGGACGGGUGAGGAAUACAUCGGAAUCUACUUUUUCGUGGGGGAUAACGUAGGGAAACUUACGCUAAUACCGCAUACGACCUACGGGUGAAAGCAGGGGAUCUUCGGACCUUGCGCGAUUGAAUGAGCCGAUGUCGGAUUAGCUAGUUGGCGGGGUAAAGGCCCACCAAGGCGACGAUCCGUAGCUGGUCUGAGAGGAUGAUCAGCCACACUGGAACUGAGACACGGUCCAGACUCCUACGGGAGGCAGCAGUGGGGAAUAUUGGACAAUGGGCGCAAGCCUGAUCCAGCCAUACCGCGUGGGUGAAGAAGGCCUUCGGGUUGAAAAGCCCUUUUGUUGGGAAAGAAAAGCAGCAGGUUAAUACCCCGCUGUUCUGACGGUACCCAAGGAAUAAGCACCGGCUAACUUCGUG
rnacentral:rRNA from 1 species